CAGUAGGUGGGCGCUGCAUCUCACGUGAUCUUUCGGAGAUCUCGGGUUGGAAAGGACCUCAGAGGUCGUCGAGUUCGAGUCCCCCCCAUUUUACAGACGAACAAAGUGAAGCCCCAGAGGCAGGAAAGUGACUUAAUCCGAGUCAGACAGCUUGGAGGUGUUUGAGGCAAGAUUCAAAUUCAGGUCUUCCUGAUUCGCCCUUUCAGUGCUGUCUCUCCACUGGGACGCCCACCUGGCCUCAGUUUUUCAAGCAAAACAUCUGUUGCCAAAGCGAAAAAGGAGGAAUGAGAAGUGGGGGACCAAAAUCUCUACCUGCUGCCAUCAUUCAUUAUACCAGAUGAAGAUUUGAUGGUUGCUUGCCUGAUUUUUUUCUUCUUUUUUAUGGGGGGGGGUGGGCAGAAAUACAUUCACAAUAACUAAGGGCAAGCAACUGAGGAACAAAUCAUUUUUUAAGGAACCAGCCACCUGUGAAUGAGGAAGAGAAUUGGCUUCUUCCCCCUAGGCACUGCUUCCUCCUAACGUGAGGAGAAGAAAUCACCCACCAGGUCAAUGGACAUAGGCAGAGGUUGAGCCUCAUCAGUUCUUGGGGGAAAGGAUCAGGCCUUUGCUUUGGUUCCCGUUGUCUUCUGAAGGGUCACGGAGGAAGGCGAGAAGGAAGCUACUCCACUCUGCCCAGUACACUCCCUUCUGAGGGGGAGAGAGGGGAAUCAGCAAGAUGGAUAAUCUUACUCCUCUUUUCAGCUCCUCUAUAUCAAAAACAGUCCAAAAAGCUAAGUUCAAAGAUGCCACUGAACUGGGAUUGAAUCUGCUUAUCUUGUAACCCCAUAGCAGCACUUGCAACCUAGGUGCUCCAUUCAUAGUUCAGAAUCUUUCUUAGAUGUAGUUGUGUUGUGAUACAAAGAGCACUGGAUUUAGAGUCAGACUACCUGGGUUCAGAUCCCAACCUUUGAGUAGGCCCUUAGCUGCAAGCAUAGGCCUUGCACAAAAUGACUCUGGACACAUCACUUAACCUUGCUGAGCCUGCUUCAUCAUUUGCAAAACAGGAAUAAUCAUCCCUUCCCUGCCGACUUCACAGGGUAGUUAUGAGGCUCAAAUGUGAUAACUUAGGAAAAAUGCUUUGUAUGCCUGUAAAGCAAAUGCCAGCUCAUAUUUAAUAACUCCAUCCAAGCCUAAGCAUAAUUUGACAUGCAGCCUUCCACUACUCUUUAUUGUAUUUGCUAUCCAACCCUCCUCCAAGACACUGGGGAACUUAGAACAUCAGUUGUAUUGGCCUGAUUCUCUAAAGAUGGGGACCCCAGCCAGAGUUAGGUUUGGGAAGGUUUAACUUUUAGUUGCAGUUGCUGUUUCAGAAAUUUUCCAUUUUCUAUUUGCUUUGGAAAAAAGAAGUCUAAAGGGAGUCCUAAUGUUGUCUUGAUCAUAGAAUAAAUUUUAAAAAGCACCAA